GCCAGGCAUGGUGGUGGAUGCCUGUAAUCCUAGCUGCUUGGGAGGCUGAGACAGGAGGAUUGUGAGUUCAAAGCCAACCUCAGCUAUUUAGUGAGGCCCUAAGCAACUCAGUGAGACCCUUUCUCUA
rnacentral:sRNA from 1 species